GGAGAAGGGAAUCAAAUACAAGCUAGGCAAUAGCAUUUUUCCUCAGUGUUUGCUAAGGAAAGCUGCUGCUGAAGAACAAUAGGGUGAUAGGUUUGUAGGUUUUUUUUUUAUUAAGAUGUUGUUGAGAGUAUUAAGUAAAAUGAUCCAUGUUUAGAGCUUAGCACAAUGCAUUGUACCCAGUAAAUUUUCAAUAAAGGUCAGCUGUUGCUAUAUUAACUAUUUUAUGGUUAUUAUUAUCAAAGGUUCUCCUAAUAAUGAAAGAAAGAAUACAAAAAUGGAGUCAUGCUGUCUUACUCAUAAUCAGGAAAAUGGACUGAAUUAUCUUUCCGUAGCUCUAAAAUUAACAUUUUUUAUUAUAG
rnacentral:lncRNA from 10 species